AUUCGGCCAAACCGCCGCCUUCUCCACCAUGCACCACCCCACUGCCUCCAUCCACCUUCUGCAGCCCCGACCAUCUCUCUAACGCUUCCCCUACCAGCGGCCACCCUCUCUCCGGCGAAGCAACAACUCAAAGCCCAAAACAAUCUCAAAACUACCAUCAGCCGCCCACCACCGUCAGCUGUCGUCAUCAACCACCACCAACGACACCAAAAUUUGCCCACUGGACCUCCUUGAGACCCUCUACAAGCAAUGAUAAGCCUCUCUCCUUAAGUUCUCCUACAAAACUUUUCCAACCAUCUUUUUGUUUAACGACAACACCGUUAGAAAAUUUUCGGAAGCCUCCGGGCAGUUUUUCGGCGAACAGUUUUUUCGACUCGCUUUUUCCCGAUCUACAACCCUUGGGUGACAUUUUAUGAAAACAAUGUGUCGUCCAUAAAAUCCCGAGUCACAAUUCGAAUUCAGCUUCCGAAACGAACUCACCGAUGGUUCAACACACGCUACGAAAGUUUGUCAAAUAUUGGACGAAAUUGCAACAAAAGGUGUGUGAUAAUGACGACGAAGGAUUGAGUGAUGCUAAAUGGCAUUGGAGACCUAUGAUGGUGGUAGCAAGGAUGGUUCUGAUGGGAGGUAUAUGGUUUUACUUUAGAGAGUGCUAAGAAGUCUGGAGAGAAAGAUGAAAAUUAGUUCUUGAAAUUCAAAUAUAACCUGAUCACAAACUCUUAUUUUAAAUGUGUGUAGUUUCUACAAAUGGGAUGUUGGAGUGUUAAUAUACAACCAAACAUUACAAAGUGGAAAAGAUCUCGCCUUAUUCAUUUAUUAUUAUAUAAUAAUAGUUAAUUAUUUUUAUUCGAAUUUUUUUAUGUUGUAUUCAUAUGUGAUUAUUGUAACAUCCCAAAAUCCAAGACCAAAAAUUUCAUUUUUAAUUUAAAGAUUCAUAAAACAGAUUACUGAAAAUUC